UAAUACAGAGAGUGCAAACGUUGUUCGGAAUUACUGGGCUUGAAGCGCACGUAGGCGGCAUCGCAAGUGUGGGGUGAAAUCCCACGGCUUACCCGUGGAACUGCCUGGCAGACUGCGGUGCUAGAGUGUGGUAGGGGAGAGCGGAACUCCUGGUGGAGCGGUGAAAUGCGUAGAUAUCAGGAGGAACACCGGUGGCGAAGGCGGCUCUCUGGUCCAUAACUGACGCUGAGGUGCGAAAGCUAGGGGAGCAAACGGG
rnacentral:rRNA from 1 species